GGAAGGGCUUUUCAUCCGGUGAUGAGUGCGGCCUUCAAAGCCGUAAGGGGCCGUGAGACGGUCUUUGGUGGGUUCGACUCCCAUGCUCUUCC
rfam:Bartonella tamiae Th239 genomic scaffold supercont1.1, whole genome shotgun sequence.